GUCGUAACAAGGUUUCCGUAGGUGAACCUGCGGAAGGAUCAUUAAUUAAAUCCAAACCUGCUCAACUAAGCCAAUCUGUUGCAGGGCGAAAGCCUCGCAGCUACAAACCUAACCAAAAGAAAGCUAACUAAGCUUCCAACUAAAACAAAAACUCUACGGUGGAUAUCUUGGUUCCUACUACGAUGAAGAACGCAGCGAAGUGCGAUAAGCAGUGCGAAUUGCAGAACCGUGAGUCAUCAGAUUUUUGAACGUAACUGACACUAGAGAGCUCUCUCUCUAGUAUGCUUCUUUCAGUGUGUUUUUCUCUCCUCACCCAAAGCUUAAUGCGAUAGAUGCCCUUCUAUUGUUAAGCUCGAAAGCACUCUGUACUCUGCAGCGGAGUCCGCAAGGAUGACGCACUCAAUGCAGUAGUCACAUUCUCAAAUGUGAACUCAUUGAGAGUAGAGUCAGCGCAUACUUGUAUGCCAGUGCUUAGAAACACAAAUUUUCUCACCACCUGAAAUGAAGUAGGAUUACCCGCUGAACUUAAGCAUAUCAUUAAGCGGAGGAAAAGAAACUAACAAGGAUUCCCCUAGUACGGGCGACGGAAGCGGGAAAAGCCCACAAUGAAAAUCUGCGUGCUUUGGCACGUCGAAUUGUACAUUGAAGAGGCGUAGUCUAACUUGAACGGACGCUCAACAGUCUGGAAAGGCUGGCCAAGGAGGGUUAUAGCCCCGUACAGUGUCCGAUCUUACCAAGGCUGCAUCUCGAAGAGUCGUGUACUUUGAUACUAGUGCACUAAGCGGGAGAUAAACUUCUUCUAAGGCUAAAUAUAAGUAGGAAACCGAUAGCGAACAAGUACUGUGAAGGAAAGAUGAAAAGCACUUUGGAAAGAGAGUUAAAAGACUUGAAACCGUAUAGUUGGACCCGGUAGAAAGGUAUUCUUGCGAAGUUCCUUGGGAAGCUGGUUUCGACCGGCCACUUGGGGACUAGCUAAGACAAGAUGGAGUCGAGAGAGGCUAAAUGCAGCUUGUCAGCUACUCCGGUGGAGGGCAGGCAUCGCUAGCCUUUCUCGGCUUGAGGGGCCUUGUGCGAUCUUGUCAAAAUGAUUUUUACCGACUCGUCUUGAAACACGAACCAAGGAGUCUAAGACUACCGCGAGUAUGGUGGUGGAAAAACCAACAUGCGUAAUGAAAGUAAAUGGUGCCAACUUUGCAGCAUCGACCGACUUUUUACUUUUGUGAGAGGUUUGAGUAAGAGCGUUAUUCUUAGGACCCGAAAGAUGGUGAACUAUGCGUGA
rnacentral:rRNA from 1 species